GAUCAUAGCUCAGGACGAACGCUGGCGGCGCGCCUAACACAUGCAAGUCGAACGAGAGAGAAGGAGCUUGCUUCUUCGAUCGAGUGGCGAACGGGUGAGUAACGCGUGAGGAACCUGCCUCAAAGAGGGGGACAACAGUUGGAAACGACUGCUAAUACCGCAUAAGCCCACGGGUCGGCAUCGACCUGAGGGAAAAGGAGCAAUCCGCUUUGAGAUGGCCUCGCGUCCGAUUAGCUAGUUGGUG
rnacentral:rRNA from 1 species